CCUACGGGCGGCAGCAGUCGAGAAUCAUUCACAAUGGAGGAAACCCUGAUGGUGCGACGCCGCGUGAGGGAAUGAAGGUCUUCGGAUUGUAAACCCCUGUCAUGUGGGAGCAAAUUAAAAAGAUAGUACCACAAGAGGAAGAGACGGCUAACUCUGUGCCAGCAGCCGCGGUAAUACAGAGGUCUCAAGCGUUGUUCGGAAUCACUGGUCGUAAAGCGUGCGUAGGCUGUUUCGUAAGUCGUGUGUGAAAGGCGCGGGCUCAACCCGCGGACGGCACAUGAUACUGGGAGACUAGAGUAAUGGAGGGGGAAGCGGAAUUCUCGGUGUAGCAGUGAAAUGCGUAGAUAUCGAGAGGAACACUCGUGGCGAAGGCGGGUUACUGGACAUUAACUGACGCUGAGGCACGAAGGCCAGGGGAGCGAAAGGGAUUAGAUACCCGAGUAGUC
rnacentral:rRNA from 1 species